GACGAACGCUGGCGGCGUGCCUAAUACAUGCAAGUCGAGCGAACCAAUAGGAGCUUGCUCCUGUUGGUUAGCGGCGGACGGGUGAGUAACACGUGGGCAACCUGCCUGUAAGACUGGGAUAACACCGGGAAACCGGUGCUAAUACCGGAUAAUCUUUUUCCUCUCAUGAGGAAAAACUGAAAGUCGGUUUCGGCUGACACUUACAGAUGGGCCCGCGGCGCAUUAGCUAGUUGGUGAGGUAACGGCUCACCAAGGCGACGAUGCGUAGCCGGCCUGAGAGGGUGAUCGGCCAACCUGGGACAGAGAGACGGCCCAGAAUCCUACGGGAGGCAGCAGUAGGGAAUCUUCCACAAUGGACGAAAGUCUGAUGGAGCAACGCCGCGUGAGCGAUGAAGGCCUUCGGGUCGUAAAGCUCUGUUGUUAGGGAAGAACAAGUACCGGAGUAACUGCCGGUGCCUUGACGGUACCUAACCAGAAAGCCACGGCUAACUACGUGCCAGCCGCCGCCGUAA
rnacentral:rRNA from 1 species